ensembl:lncRNA
GUAAAAGUUUACAGUUAAUUAAGAGAGAAGUAUAGUGAGAAAUAGAGUAAUGCUUAUGGAUUACUUGUGGAUUAUUGUGACGCGUUUAUCAGCUGCCUGGACUCCCAUUCUGACAGCAUUUAUUAUUAUUAUUAUUAUUAUUAUUAUUAUUAUUAUUAUUAUUAUUAUUAUUAUUAUUAUUAUAUGAUGCAUUUAUUAUUAUUAUUAUUAUUUUUAUUAUUGUUAUUAUAUGAUGCCUUUGUGUUUGUGUGUUUUGUAACAGAUAUGGAGGUUAUGGGCCCUAUGGACAAUAUGGAGGUUAUGGGCCCUAUGAACACUUUGGAAGUUAUGGGCCCUUUCAAAAAUAUGGAGGUUAUGGGCCCUAUGGACAAUAUGGAGGUUAUGGGCCCUAUGGACAAGGUGAUGGAGGUCAUGGGCCCUCUGGACCAGCUGAAUAUUAUGGACAAGGUGACAGUUGGGAGGAUCUUUACGGCCACACCAAACAUGAUAACAUCAGAGGCAAUGAGCGAUAUGACACCACUGCUCAGCCCACUGCCGAUGACCAUGUGACUGACAACACUGAACCAGUAAAGUAAAAUAAAUGACCAGGCUAAACCCUGCUGAAUGAGCUG